GAUGAACGCUAGCUACAGGCUUAACGCAUGCAAGUCGAGGGGAAACGAUAGAGAAAGCUUGCUUUUUCUAGGCGUCGACCGGCGCACGGGUGAGUAAUGCGUAUCCAACCUGCCCACCACUUGGGGAUAACCUUGCGAAAGUAAGACUAAUACCCAAUGACGUCUCUAGAAGACAUCAGAAAGAGAUUAAAGAUUUAUCGGUGAUGGAUGGGGAUGCGUCUGAUUAGCUUGUUGGCGGGGUAACGGCCCACCAAGGCGACGAUCAGUAGGGGUUCUGAGAGGAAGGUCCCCCACAUUGGAACUGAGGCACGGUCCAAACUCCUACGGGAGGCAGCAGUGAGGAAUAUUGGUCAAUGGGCGAGAGUCUGAACCAGCCAAGUAGCGUGCAGGAUGACGGCCCUAUGGGUUGUAAACUGCUUUUAUAAGGGAAUAAAGUGAGAGUCGUGACUCUUUUUGCAUGUACCUUAUGAAUAAGGACCGGCUAAUUCCGUGCCAGCCGCCGCUUAA
rnacentral:rRNA from 1 species